GACGAACGCUGGCGGCGUGCUUAACACAUGCAAGUCGAACGGAAAGGCCCUGCUUGCAGGGUGCUCGAGUGGCGAACGGGUGAGUAACACGUGGGUGAUCUGCCCCUUACUUUGGGAUAAGCCUGGGAAACUGGGUCUAAUACUGGAUAGGACCAUGCUGUAGGUGGUGUGGUGGAAAGAUUAGUUUCGGUAAGGGAUGAGCUCGCGGCCUAUCAGCUUGUUGGUGGGGUAAUGGCCUACCAAGGCGUCGACGGGUAGCCGGCCUGAGAGGGUGGACGGCCACAUUGGGACUGAGAUACGGCCCAGACUCCUACGGGGGGCAGCAGUGGGGAAUAUUGCACAAUGGGGGCAAGCCUGAUGCAGCGACGCCGCGUGGGGGAUGACGGCCUUCGGGUUGUAAACUCCUUUCAGCCAUGACGAAGCCCUUGUGGUGACGGUAGUGGUAGAAGAAGCACCGGCUAACUACGUG
rnacentral:rRNA from 1 species